rnacentral:tRNA from 1 species
UCCGGGGUCGUUCAAUUGGCAGGACAACGGGUUUUGGUCCCGCAUAUAGGGGUUCGAGUCCUCUCCCCGGAACCA